ACCCUUUCCUUAAGGCCACGGGACGCCUAUAUUCAAUGCGUCUCCUUCGGGGGACUAUGGACAUAAACGCGCCCGCAAUAAGCGGAUCGGACCCGGGGGCGGUACCCGGCGUCUCCACCAAACAUCCUUCAUUUGGGGAUCAUGGGGACGAAAUAGGAUCGACGGACGUCUAAAGGGGUUUGCUUUGUUUCGGCUGGAAGCCACCGUUAUCGGCGCACAAAAGCUAGUUGCAAAUGACAACAAAGCUCCGGUUGCACUCGCUGCGUAAGCAGUGCGUAACGCCGAAAUCUAAGUCCUUAGGCUUUGCGGUCUAAGGCGGGGUCCGCAGGCACCUGGCAACAGAAGCCUGCACU
rnacentral:tmRNA from 1 species